AGAUUCACAAAGGAGUGCCUCUGGCUGAGAUCGCAUUUGCGAAAUCCUGAUAACCUGAUCUCGUUAAUACGAGCGUAGGGAUUGUGACAUGACCGUUU
rnacentral:ncRNA from 1 species